rfam:Angiostrongylus costaricensis strain Costa Rica genome assembly, scaffold: ACOC_contig0003459
GAUCUAGUGGUGUAGUGGUUCUCACAUCUGUCUUAAACACAGAAGGUCGGCGGUUCGUGUCCGCCCGAGCUCA